CCUCCUCAUAAUCCUUCCCAAGGGCAGCCAUGUCCUCACGGGCCUCAGAAAACUCUCCUUCCUCUAUGCGCUUACCCACUACCAGUGAACAAAGGCAUGCUUGGCAUACAUCAGGUCAAACUUGUAGUCCAGGUGAGCCCAGGCCUCAGUGAUGGCUAUGGUGUUGCUUAGCAUGCACACAGCUCGCUGUACUUUGGCCAGGUCUCCACCAGGUACCACAGUGAGAGGCUGGUAAUCAAUGCCAACUUUGAAGCCAAUGGGACACCAGUCUACAAACUGGAUGCUGCACUUGGUCUUGAUAGUGGCAAUGGCAGCACUGACAUCUUUGGGAACCAUGUCGCCAUGGUGCAACAGGCAGCAAGCCAUAUGUUUACCAUGGGGAGCGUCAUAUUUCACCACCUGAUUGGCUGGCCCAAAGCAUGCAGGUGUUCAUGGUAGACUUCUCAGCAGAGGUGACAGGGGCAUAUGUGGCCAGAGGGAAGUGGAUGUGGGGAUAGGGCACCCGGUUGGUUUGGAAUUCUGUUAGAUGAACAUUCAGGCCUCCAUCAAAUCUAAGGGAAAUCUAAGGGAAGCAGUGAUGGAAGACAUAAUCUGGCUAAUAAGGCAGUUAAGGUUAGUGUAGGUUGCAUGUUCAAUACUGAGGUUUCUAAAACAGAUGUCAUAGAUGGCCUCAUUGUCUACCAUAAAGGCACAAUCAGAGGGCUCCAGGGUGGUAUGGGUAGUGAGGAUGGAGUUGUAGGGCUCAAUCACAGGAGUGGAAACCUGGGGGGCUGGGUAAGUGGAGAACUCCAGCUUGGAUUUCUUGCCAUAAUCGAUGGAGAGAUAUUCCAUGAGCAGGGAUGUGAACCCG
rnacentral:lncRNA from 1 species